rnacentral:lncRNA from 1 species
CGUGUACGAUCCUAGGGUUCCGCCGCCCAAUAAUGCGAUGGUGAGGAAGAUGCUGGCGUGCGGCGCUGCCUGCCCUAGCCUGCUUCGUCGUUGCCGAUUUCUACUCGACGGCGGCUGUGGCCUCUCUCUGUCGCUGGAUCAGUACUCCAGCUCCGGAUUCCAGUCGAGGAAUGAGCAUCUGUUCGGCCGAUCUGGAGCUGCCUAGCCAGGUUCGCCGGAGAGGAGGCGGUGGAUGAUGACGAGCUCGAGGCGGUGGAUGAGGGACGAAGAGGCGGAACCAGAGGA